UUUGUACUCCCUCCGUCCCAAAAUUCUUGUCUUAAAUUUGUCUAAAUACGGAUGUAUAUAGUUACAUUUUAGUGCUAGAUACAUCUGUAUCUAAACAAAUGUAAGACAAGAACUUUGGGACGGAGGGAAUACUAC
rnacentral:pre_miRNA from 1 species